rnacentral:rRNA from 1 species
UACGUAGGGUGCGAGCGUUGUCCGGAAUUAUUGGGCGUAAAGAGCGCGUAGGCGGCCAUACAGGUCCGUUGUGAAAACUGGAGGCUUAACCUCCAGACGUCGAUGGAAACCGUAUGGCUAGAGUCCGGAAGAGGAGAGUGGAAUUCCUGGUGUAGCGGUGAAAUGCGCAGAUAUCAGGAAGAACACCGGUGGCGAAGGCGGCUCUCUGGGACGGUACUGACGCUGAGACGCGAAAGCGUGGGGAGCAAACAGG